GUCUACAGCUGUACCACCCCGAAUGUGCCCAAUCUCAUCUGGUUUUGUAGCUAAGCAGGGUUGGGCCUGGUUAGGCCUUGGGUGGGAAAAAGAUCUUCAGAGGAGACUGCUCAAACAGUUUGGAGACA
rnacentral:rRNA from 1 species